UGGGGAAUAUUGGACAAUGGGCGAAAGCCUGAUCCAGCCAUGCCGCGUGUGUGAAGAAUGUCUUCGGAUUGUAAAGCACUUUAAGUUGGGAGGAAGGGCAGUAAGCGAAUACCUUGCUGUUUUGACGUUACCGACAGAAUAAGCACCGGCUAACUCUGUGCCAGCAGCCGCGGUAAUACAGAGGGUGCAAGCGUUAAUCGGAAUUACUGGGCGUAAAGCGCGCGUAGGUGGUUCGUUAAGUUGAAUGUGAAAGCCCCGGGCUCAACCUGGGAACUGCAUCCAAAACUGGCGAGCUAGAGUAGGGCAGAGGGUGGUGGAAUUUCCUGUGUAGCGGUGAAAUGCGUAGAUAUAGGAAGGAACACCAGUGGCGAAGGCGACCACCUGGGCUCAUACUGACACUGAGGUGCGAAAGCGUGGGGAGCAAACAGG
rnacentral:rRNA from 1 species